UACGUAGGGGGCAAGCGUUGUCCGGAAUCAUUGGGCGUAAAGCGCGUGUAGGCGGCCCGGUAAGUCCGCUGUGAAAGUCCAGGGCUCAACCCUGGAAUGCCGGUGGAUACUGUCGGGCUCGAGUCCGGAAGAGGCGAGUGGAAUUCCUGGUGUAGCGGUGAAAUGCGCAGAUAUCAGGAGGAACACCAAUGGCGAAGGCAGCUCGCUGGGACGGUACUGACGCUGAGGAGCGAAAGCGUGGGUAGCAAACAGG
rnacentral:rRNA from 1 species